UCCAUCAUGGUGUAGUGGCUAACAUUAUCGCCUCUCAUUGAAAGUCGCGAUAGCCCAGGGUUCGAUUCCCUGUGAUGGAA